AGCUCGCUGUCCCCUCUAUCUCUCUCUGCCUCUCUUUCGGUCUCUCUCUGUCCCUGUCUCUGCCUCCCCCUCUCUCUCUGUUCUUGUCUCUGUCCCCAUCUCUGUCUCUCCCUCUGUCCCUGUCUCUGUCUCUAUGUCCUCAUCUCUCUCCUCCCUCUCUCUGUCCCUGCCUGUCUCUGUCUCUCUCUCCAUCCCUGUCUCUGCCUCCCUCUCUCUCUGUCUCUACCUCUCUGGGUCUCUCUCCCUCCGCACUGUGGGUUCCUCAGGGAGCAGGGCCAGGGCCCCCCAGAAGACCUGCAGGAGAGAUAGUGCUGGAGGAAGUCGCACGGCAGAUGCCAGAGGACCAGCCUGGGAGAGCCUUUCUAGCAACCAGGACACCUGACGCAGUGCCCGCUUUCUCCAGGAAACAAGGACACCUGCACGGGCGCCCACACAAGAGUCGGCGACCAGCCUAGGCUGUGGGAUUCCUGCAACGCGUGUUCCUGCUGAGGUUCUCCUUCCUGCUGUUCUGAGCUAUGGUGUGGAUCACGCUCCCCAUACGUGGAGUCCAGGGACAGCGCAGCCCGGGGCCUGCCCACCCAGCCAGGAAGUCUGACUUUCAGAGAACUGGGAAGACCAUCUUCCACUUUACCCCGUCUGGGAGACUGUAAACAUGGAUUCCACUGUCUCGGACAGUAAGAUGAUUCCCAGUCUUUUCCUGUUGCUCCUCUAGAUGCUGUCUUGGACGCAGUGAAGUCUGGCGAUGGCUGCUUCAGAGGCCGUUAGGAUGGUGAAGUGAAACAAUGUGAAUGGAGUGUUUUGUGAGGCCCAGUGCUGCAUAAAUGCUAGCCAUUAUCUAAUAGCAAGAAUUGCUUGAAAUGUUUCUUUCUCUCAAAUUUAUGAAAAGAUUAGAAAAUAGUUCUAAAAAUUAAAAAUGGUUCUGGUCGGAGUGGCUUACAUGAUGGCAGUGAAAGUGUGCACAGAUUCACGGGUCCCACCACGUGCGCUUGGCGUGGAGAGAAUGAAAUGUGGAAGCCAGUGACACCAAGGGCACCCCUGUGAGCCACGCUGGGUGCAGCCCCCACGGCCGGUGGGCAGUGACACCGCAGUUUCCUCUCCUGCCGGCGUCCACGCUUCCUGUGCCCACGUGCUGGAAGCUCACUCUGCAUGUCCCCCUCUCAG